rfam:Gossypium raimondii Chr11_contig_1472, whole genome shotgun sequence.
UGUUAAAAACUUCAUCCUUUUGUAUUGUUAAAAACCGGCGAGGUUGACAGGAUAACCAUACAGUGACAUGUAUCAUGCCAUGUAUACUGCAUGCUAACGUACAAAGACCUGUUUUUAAUAGUAGAAAUGAAUAAAAUUUUAAUA